rnacentral:rRNA from 1 species
UACGGGGGGGGCAAGCGUUGUUCGGAAUUACUGGGCGUAAAGGGCUCGUAGGUGGCCAACUAAGUCGGACGUGAAAUCCCUCGGCUUAACCGGGGAACUGCGUCCGAUACUGGUUGGCUUGAGUUUGGGAGAGGGAUGCGGAAUUCCAGGUGUAGCGGUGAAAUGCGUAGAUAUCUGGAGGAACACCGGUGGCGAAGGCGGGUCUCUGGGCCGAUACUGACGCUGAGGAGCGAAAGCAUGGGGAGCGAACAGG